UGCGCCUGUUCGGUUGCUCGUCCGCCCGGCUUCUGCGCCUCAACCCUCACAGCAUCGCCCGUCCUCGGCCCUUCUCCAUCGCGCGGCCAGCCGCCGGUCCGCCCAGUCACCAUUGUUCAAGCAUCGCUAGCCGGCCACCUGAACCCUCGCCCAGACAUGGAUUGUUGAAAGUUCGAGGGUCUUAAAAUUUAAGCUAUUACAAUUGGAAACAAUUCGCUGUGAUUCAUAUCUAACUAGGGGAGGAUUAUUUCUGCAACAACGGCGAGACACAAUGUCGACCCGGUACGUUUUCGACAGAGAAGCCCAAGUACGCAUGGGAUAUACGAAGCUUGGAGUCUCAUCGCCCCUCUUUUUCAGUCUCUUCGUUUCUUCUUGGUGGCGGCUGAGACUCGGGAGACCGGCACCGGCGGCAUUUUCGAAGUAGGAAUCCGCCUGUUCUGUUCGUCCUCUAUCUUUUCUUUUGUUGUUUAAAGAGAUUCGUGUUCUAGGGUUUUCUGUUAUAGAUGUUGGCCAGAUUCGGAGGAACGCUAUAUGAUUUUUGAUAGCUUUUCAGAGAUGUGGACGGCUGUAUAUAUGGAUGUGGAUCUUGUGCGUAGCACGCAUUUUUUUUGUUGGUUCACUCAAGUAGGAGAAAUAUGGGCGUGGAGUAGAGUAGGAUCUGUGUUGGAAAUGGGCGUGGAUAGAAGCCAUGUUCUCCAAAACAGGUUUUUUGUGUGUUUUUCUUGGAUGAAGAUGAAUGUGUAGAGUAUGAUUUUUUCCAACAUAGAUUUUUUGUUUUGUCUCGCGCCGCCGCAACGAUUCCCUC